GCAUUGCUGAGUAGUCCAAAAAUAGGACGAAACGGCCUUCCAGUGC
rnacentral:hammerhead_ribozyme from 1 species